AAGUAGUUAAGAGCGUAUGGAGGAUGCCUUGGCUCUCAGAGACGAUGAAGGACGUGCUAAGCUGCGAUAAGCUACGGGAAGUUGCACAGAAACUGUGAUCCGUAGAUUUCCGAAUGGGGCAACCCAGCAUAUUGAAGAUAUGUUAUCCUUAGGGAGGUUAACCCGGAGAACUGAAACAUCUAAGUACCCGGAGGAAGAGAAAACAAUAGUGAUUCCGCAAGUAGUGGCGAGCGAACGCGGAUUAGCCCAAACCCUGAUCGUUACGGCGGUUGGGGGGUUGUAGGACUGCAACAUGAGAAGUAUAAUGAAUUGGAAUGAUCUGGGAAGGUCGACCGUAGAGGGUGAAAGUCCCGUACAGGUAAAAUUAUACCAUCUAGCAGUAUCCUGAGUAAGACGGGACCGGAGAAAUCCCGUUUGAAUCCACCGGCACCAUCCGGUAAGGCUAAAUACUCCUGAGAGACCGAUAGUGAACAAGUACCGUGAGGGAAAGGUGAAAAGUACCCUGAAUAAGGGGGUGAAAUAGAACCUGAAACCAUACGCUUACAAGCGGUCGGAGCAACUGCGUGUUGUGACGGCGUGCCUUUUGCAUAAUGAUCCUACGAGUUACUCCUCAUUGGCAAGGUUAAGAAUUUAAGAUUCGAAGCCGAAGCGAAAGCGAGUCUGAACAGGGCGACAUAGUCAGUGGGGGUAGACGCGAAACCUUGUGAUCUACCCAUGGCCAGGUUGAAGUUCCGGUAACACGGAAUGGAGGACCGAACCAGUAAGCGUUGAAAAGCUUUUGGAUGAGCUGUGGGUAGGGGUGAAAGGCCAAUCAAACUGGGAAAUAGCUCGUACUCCCCGAAAU
rnacentral:rRNA from 1 species